CUACGGGACGCAGCAGUGAGGAAUAUCGCACAAUGGGGGGAACCCUGAUGCAGCAACGCCGCGUGGAGGAUGACGCAUUUCGGUGUGUAAACUCCUUUUAUAUGUCAAGAAAAUGACGGUAGCAUAUGAAUAAGCACCGGCUAACUCCGUGCCAGCAGCCGCGGUAAUACGGAGGGGUGCAAGCGUUACUCGGAAUCACUGGGCGUAAAGGACGCGUAGGCGGGUUGGAAAGUCAGGUGUGAAAUCCUACAGCUUAACUGUAGAACUGCACUUGAAACUUCUAAUCUAGAGUAUGGGAGGGGGAGAUGGAAUUAGUGGUGUAGGGGUAAAAUCCGUAGAUAUCACUAGGAAUACCUAAAGCGAAGGCGAUCUCCUGGAACAUUACUGACGCUAAGGCGUGAAAGCGUGGGGAGCAAACAGGAUUAGAUACCCUCGUAGUC
rnacentral:rRNA from 1 species